rnacentral:rRNA from 1 species
AUUGAACGCUGGCGGCAUGCCUAACACAUGCAAGUCGAACGAGUGGCGGACGGGUGAGUAAUGUCUGGGAAACUGCCUGAUGGAGGGGGAUAACUACUGGAAACGGUAGCUAAUACCGCAUACCAUCAGAUGUGCCCAGAUGGGAUUAGCUAGUGGGUGGGGUAAAGGCGCACCAAGGCGACGAUCCCUAGCUGGUCUGAGAGGAUGACCGGCCACACUGGAACUGAGACACGGUCCAGACUCCUACGGGAGGCAGCAGUGGGGAAUCUUGCGCAAUGGGCGAAAGCCUGAUCCAGCCAUGCCGCGUGUAUGAAGAAGGCCUUCGGGUUGUAAAGUACUUUCAGCGGGGAGGCGUUACCCGCAGAAGAAGCACCGGCUAACUCCGUGCCAGCAGCCGCGGUAAUUC